CCAAUCUCAUCUACGAUGAAGGCUCGUCAAACUGAUUAUCUAUACCUGCAGGCAUGAAUGCAGUGUCCCCAACAAAAGGAACGUCAGUACGAAUAAUGUACUGAAUAUGUAAGACAUGUAAAUAAGUAUAUACAGGACAUGGAAUAAACCGUGGAGUAAAUGACUCAGCCUAUAAAUUUGGAUGGCUCUGUAAAUCAAAAUCAUGAAAUAUCUUUAAUGCCAUGCACAUGCAUAUAAAUGUCAUGUAAUGCAUAGGUCUGUACGUACAUAACAUCAUCAAGCCUCUAAGGGCAUUCCAUCAUAUCAUUUCAGCCACUUUGGGCAAUAUCAUCAUCGUAUACCAGCUGAUCAGGUGGUGGUGCGUAUAUAACGCCAUAACUAUUUUUCCAUAUCCCAUAUACAUAUAUUUACAUAUAUACGCGUAUAUAACGCCAUUUGGUGCCGUUGCGGGAAAAAUCAUCAAUGUAUACCAGCUGAUCGGGUGGUGGUGCGUAUAUAAUGUCGUAACCUUUUCCCAUAUUUCAUAUACAUAUAUACGCGUAUAUAAUGCCGUCUAAGUCAUGGGCACAUGCAAAUGAGUGCAAUGCAUGAGAAGUACGCUAAUAAAACUUCUCGGAACGUCAAAAGACCAUUAUAGCUCUAAUUAAUAUCAUUUUAGAGGAAUAAAUAACAUAGACAUCCUUAACUGUUAUGAGUAGAAACACUUAUAAAAUAACAUUACGUUUACGUAUCGUUGCGUGGAUCAUGCCAAAAGAAGCAAUAAUUAGCCUUAACAUACCUGAGAUGAUUCUCUUGACAAUACCUCUAAUACAUGUCGUUUGCGAAAAUACAUAAUGGCGGAUCGAAUUAGGGAGAAAUCCAUAUGAUGUUCUUAAGAAGGAUUAUACUAUACUUCCUUAUAAUUGCCAAAUCUUACAUUCUGAUAUAUAUGACUCUCACGUUCUAAGAAUUGAUAUGUGACUCUUUCUUUAAUUUUCACUCAAUAACUAAAAAUAUCAAACUUGAGGAACAUAGGAGGAACUAGUAUAGUAGGGAUCAGGGAUGAGAUCCGACAACCCGACCCAGUAGUCCCAUUACCAACAUAACCUCCACUUUGUAAAAAUUCAACAAUUAACACGUCUGUUGAUAUAUCAAUGAGCAUAUUCUCCAAAAUAGUUGGAGAACAAAAAAAAAUCAACAUUAGCAUUAAAAGGAAGAUGAGUGGGCAAGCCAAUCAACUCCAAUGAAAGAAAGAGAAAAAGAUAAAGAACGGAGAAUUUUAAAAGGGAAGGAGACGGUGGUUUUUGG
rnacentral:lncRNA from 1 species